rnacentral:tRNA from 1 species
GAUGAUAUGGCAGAGUGGUCUAAUGCGUGUGACUAGAAAUCACAUCCUUUCGGGGGCCCAGGUUCGAAUCCUGGUAUCAUCG